rnacentral:rRNA from 1 species
AUUGAACGCUGGCGGCAGGCCUAACACAUGCAAGUCGAGCGGAUGAACGGUGCUUGCUCCUGGUUUCAGCGGCGGACGGGUGAGUAAUGCAUAGGUAUCUCCCUGGCUGCGGUUGCUUACGUCCUGAAGUGGGCGCUCAUACCCCAUACGCCCAGAGGGCGUAAGUGUGGGAUCUUCGGAUCUUCCGCCCUUACGCGAGUCUAGGUCGGAUUAGCUAGUUGGUGGGUUAAAGGCCUACCAAGGCGACGAUCCGUAACUGGUCUGAGAGGAUGAUCAGUCACACUGGAACUGAGACACGGUCCAGACUCCUACGGGAGGCAGCAGUGGGGAAUAUUGGACAAUGGGCGAAAGCCUGAUCCAGCCAUGCCGCGUGUGUGAAGAAGGUCUUCGGAUUGUAAAGCACUUUAAGUUGGGAAGAAGGGCAGUAAGUUAAUACCUUGCUGUUUUGACGGUACCAAAAGAAUAAGCACCGGCUAACUUCGUG